AUGAUACUCCAUCCGUCCCAAAAUUCUUGUCUUUAAGUUUGUCUAAAAAUGAAUAUAUCUAAAUACUAAAACGUGACUAGAUACAUUCAUAUCGAAGACAAGUAUUUUGGGACGGAGGGAGUACUAC
rfam:Hordeum vulgare subsp. vulgare, WGS project CAJW01000000 data, contig: morex_contig_1567995